CGGGGCUUGAACCCAGGAACUGUGAGAUCAUGAACUGUGAGAUCAUGACCUGACCCCAAGUAGGCCGCUUAACCGACUGAGCCACCCAGGCGCCCCUACAAGAUGAUUUUUAAAGAUACUUUCAGAUUGAACCAAAGAGCUAGGAGGUGACAGUUCAGUCUCAGAUUUGGGGGCUGGGAAGCUUUGCUAAUCCCACCGCUACCCCCACCCCGCCACCCCCGCAAAACCAGAGAAAUGUAACCGUUCUACUGUGAGAGCACCCAAAGGCGGAUCUCGGAAAAUAGAGAGUCCUGGGAAGACACCAGGAGUCGGCGGGCCCCUGGGAAGGAACCUUCAGGCAAGAAGGCUGCCAGUGGUUUCCUUGCUUUCCUCCUGGGGAGGAGGAGGAGGGCAGUGGGCCAAAGCGCCGGGGCAGGCAAACUCCUGCACGUGGAGAAUGGCGUAUUCAGAGGCAAUCGUUGCAGCACCGUUUACGCUACAGAAGAUUGGGAAGAAGCACAGCAGCCUAUCAGGAGAAACUGGAAGGCAAAUUGAAGACAUCUGCAAAUGACAAACAAAAACCAGAAUGAACCACCCUAGACCCUUAUUAAGGAAACUUGCAAGCAUGUACCUGAAAAGAAAACUGAACCUAGGGGGAAAAAUCGUGAGAUUCAAGAAGAAAGAGUGAAUAAACACUGGGAAAACGAAAUAAAGCCGAACAAAUUAUGACUACUCAAAACUACCUUUCCAGACCAGAAGAAGGUAGGACACACGGCCACAGAGUGCAGCAUGUGAGAUCGGAGAGGUCCUUGCCCAGGACAGACGGCAGCAGAACCACGGACGAAACCGCGAAGAAACCCAUCAGGGUUAGUGGAUACAGCUGCAUCUGUGUGAACACCGCUGGCUGGACCAUCACAACGGGAACAGCCAAGAUACGAAGGCUGGGGAAGUGCAUGGAAAGUGUUUCUACUGCUUUGCAACUUUUAAGUCCAAAGUCAAUUAAAAAAAAAAAAGAAUUUUAAGGGUUAAGAAAAACAAGAACAAACCCGUUUUCGAUAAUACCACUUUUUUAAAAAUGGUAAACAUUUAAGCUGGGAACAUUCUGCUUAUUUUUUUCUUCAUAGUACUCAACACCAUCAAACGUGUUUUAUAUUUAUGUACGGAUCAACUAUCUGUCCUCACUAGCAGGUAGCUCCCCGAGGACAAGGAUUUGGACUGUUUUGUCAAUUACUAUGCUAAACCCAGAGCGCUGCCUGGCAUGUAGUAGGUGCUCGGCAACUAUUUGUUGAGUGAAUAAGGAACAGCUGCUCACUGAUUGGUUUCAUUUAUUUGUAUCUGUUGUGCAAUAUUUUAAUAUUGAGCAUUACCAGGUGAUACAGCUACGAGAUAUUCACCCUUUCCCC